AUUGAACGCUGGCGGCAGGCCUAACACAUGCAAGUCGAGCGGAGCGGCAGACGGGUGAGUAAUGCCUAGGAAUAUGCCUGGUAGUGGGGGAUGACGUCCGGAAACGGGCGCUAAUACCGCAUCCUAUCUGCUGAGCCUAGGUCGGAUUAGCUAGUUGGUGGGGUAAAGGCCUACCAAGGCGACGAUCCGUACCUGGUCUGAGAGGAUGACCAGCCACACUGGAACUGAGACACGGUCCAGACUCCUACGGGAGGCAGCAGUGGGGAAUAUUGCACAAUGGGCGCAAGCCUGAUGCAGCCAUGCCGCGUGUGUGAAGAAGGCCUUCGGGUUGUAAAGUACUGUCAGCGGGGAGGCGUUACCCACAGAAUAAGCACCGGCUAACUCCGUGCCAGCAGCCGCGGUAAUAC
rnacentral:rRNA from 1 species